GUCGGAUUGAGCCACCCACCCAGAUGAUAGCUGGCCUCUAAGCUGAGGGGCCUGGGGAGGCUUCAGUGAUCCCUCUGCUGUAAAUGUUGCCUCGGCUGACCUAUAACUCUGGGGCUGUGGAGAUAAGAAAACUGAAGCUCGGAAUCUGAGUCCACAGUCCUGGCUAACUCUACAGUCCAACUCUUGCAGCCAGGCCUGAAACCCUGUGACACUGCUGUCAACACAAGUUUCCGCACACGGGAAGUGCUCAGCAAUGUUAGCUGGCACAAAUUAUGCCAGCAAGUCCUCUGGACUCUCCCUUCAUCCCACCUUUACUAAGUAUUGCCUGGUUGCCAGGAACUGUGCUGGAUUCUAGGAAUGUCUCCAAAGCCUGGCAUGAAACCCACUGGCCUCCCUCUGGAGAGGCUGUCACAGGCCUCUGGGCAUCCUUUAAUCUCUGCAGCCACAGUGCCUGAUGCAAUGGCUGAUCCUGCAUUAGUGAGCAGUGUUUAGGAAAUGGGUUUAUGAAUAAAUCACAUAUGAAUAAACAA